AAUAGGCCUUGUCUUCUGGGGAAAGCAUGGUCUGCCCAUUCAAGUGUGAGCAAGAGUUGUUCAACAUCCUUAAUCAUCAGAGAAAUGCAAAUCAAAACAACCCUGAGAUUCCAUCUCACACCAGUCAGAAUGGCUNNNNNNNNNNNNNNNNNNNNNNNNNNNNNGAGCUUAGAGCAAAAGCUUCUAAAAUCAAGAAGAAGAAAAAGCUUUUUCAGAGUCAUUCCAGGAUCCCAUGGAGUUGUGACUAGAUAAGACACUUGGCUGCUCUGAGACGAAAAUGUCUUAUGGAUUGGCAGAUAAGGAAGAGCUCUGACUGCCUGUCCCUAGUCAUGGAAGGGAGUGAUAAGCAGACAUAGAAGUAAGGACCUGCAAGAGGAACACACCUUCACACUCCUAUAAGUGAAUUUAUCAGAUAAAAGCAAGAGAUUCAGCAUCACUAAGAGCAAAAAUGUGUGAAAGACUAUGAAAAGGAAUAAAGUGGGAGCUUGCAUCUUUAGUGUCCAAAGUACAAGCCCUGUUGCCUGGAAUUCUUCGUUAUACAAACCUUUAUUCAAUGAGCGUCUGCUGACAGGGUUGGACAACACAAAGUCAAUCCCCAGGAGUCACGUGACAGAAAGAACCAACUCUUGCAAGUUGACCUCUGACUUCCAUAUAGUGGCCGUGCCAUGUGCAUCCCUACCAGAGCCACAGUAUCCACUUCUUUGCAUGUGAGCCAGCAACCCACGUGACUUACAUCUCUACAGGGAAAAACACCUAUACCACUUAAUUCUCAAGGUUGUUGAGAAGUACCUCCCCUAUAUUCAUCAAUAUGGGAGACUAUAAGAAGAAUGGCUGUUUUAUUAUAUAUUUGAAUAUUUCCAUAUGAAAUUGUGAAUACUACUUAAUGACAGGUUGUCUCUUCACUGGAAUGAUGAUGCUCUUUGUUACACAGAGCUUUUUAGUUUCAUGAGGUCCCAUUUAUUUUUGUGUGAGGGUACAGUAUUUCAAUGAAGGUGAUAUGAUCACUCCUGUUUGGAAGCUGAAUCAAUGAAAACACAAGUGCCUGUAAUAGAAUAUCAUUGCCUUCAACUACUGACUAAAACCUUUGGGGGGUUUUGAUUUGAGCUCAGACCUUACAGCAUUCUAUUAUUUAUAUGAAAGAAAUUUACAAUCCUUGUUCUGACAAACUAGUCCACCCAGAGAACAAGACAGGAUCUGUCAUGUUUGCCAAUCAAUGCUGGUGGUGUAAAUCACACCUGCUGAUGUCAAGCAUAAACAUCUGCUUCUAGAACUUUCCCCCACUUUCCAUCAGCUCUCACUGGCCUUAUUUUUUAAAUAAAUCUACAUGUCUUUC
ensembl:lincRNA Gm44904 predicted gene 44904